rnacentral:rRNA from 1 species
GCAUGGUUGUCGUCAGCUCGUGUCGUGAGAUGUUGGGUUAAGUCCCGCAACGAGCGCAACCCUCGCCUCUAGUUGCCAGCAUUCGGUUGGGCACUCUAGGCGAACUGCCGUUGACAAAACGGAGGAAGGUGGGGAUGACGUCAAAUCAUCAUGCCCCUUAUGUUCUGGGCUACACACGUGCUACAAUGGCCGGUACAGACGGACGCAAAGCCGCGAGGUGGAGCAAAUCCUAAAAAGCCGGUCUCAGUUCGGAUUGCAGGCUGCAAUUCGCCUGCAUGAAGUCGGAAUCGCUAGUAAUCGCAGGUCAGCAUACUGCGGUGAAUACGUUCCCGGGCCUU